UACGUAGGGACCAAGCGUUGUCCGGAGUUACUGGGCGUAAAGGGCGCGCAGGCGGUCGGAUGCGUCGGGUGUGAAAGCCCUCCGCUCAACGGAGGAGAGUCGCUCGAAACGGUUCGACUGGAGGCAGGGCGAGGUCGGUGGAAUUCCCGGUGUAGUGGUGAUAUGCGUAGAGAUCGGGAGGAACACCAGAGGCGAAGGCGGCCGACUGGACCUGUUCUGACGCUGAGGCGCGAAGGCGUGGGGAGCGAACGGGAUUAGAUACCCCGGUAGUCCACGCAGUAAACGAUGUGCACGAGGUGUAGCGGGAGUUGACCCCUGCUGUGCCGGCGCUAACGCAGUAAGUGCACCGCCUGGGGAGUACGGCCGCAAGGCUAAA
rnacentral:rRNA from 1 species